UUUAGACCACCAGGUAACUAAGAAAUACAACAACAACAAAAAGCCCGUUCAUAUCUUCUUCAGAAAAUAAAACAGAGCUUUCAGUUACAGAGUGACAGGAUUUGGCACUAUGCUAUCAUGGGUGGCAGGGAGUCCUCUCCAAGGAGAUUUGGAUGGACAUGAAUGGAGGUGCUAAGAUUUGGGACAGAAAGAAGAAAUGGCUAGCCAUCACCUGCUUCAACUUCAGGUCCUUGUACCUCAGGGGCAGCAAUUUUGAGGACAGAGCAACGUCAAACCUGUUUAAAGAGGGUGCUUCUUCCUGAUGACCACCUCCCAACCCUCUCCCAGAGUCAUGGGCCAGAAACUCCUGGGGACAAAGUCACGUGGUUCCAGAGGAUCAGAUGGUUCCCUGGAUGGGAGGACAGUGUAUGUGGCCAACCAGUAGCCAACUAUUUGUACAGAUCAAGGCUGCUGAGAUGUGAAGUAGAAACACGGCAGGGGAAAACAGGCCGUGUCUCUGGAAGAGAGAUGGCUCCGUGAUGAGCAGACCCACGUGAUGAGCUCCCCUCUGUCCAUGAGGGGACAUGAGGACAGAGGGGAGCGCUAGUAGGGUGUCU